AAUCAGUGCAAGCAAAAAUUUAUUUUCAACCAGUAAACUACCCAAAGUAGACAGCAUACAAAAGACAAUUCUUGCAAUCAUCGCCUUGACCCUCUUCGGUCUGUGUUGAUCUUCCAGCACAAAGUAAUUUCGACGUGAAGGCUUAUAUGGGCACCUUUUACGAAUAUUCCAGUACCCUGUUGAUUUCGAAAACGACAAUAAGUGUGUGACAGUAUCACUCCUGCGAAAAAGUCAAAAUGAAAUCGCUGUACUAGAUACAAUGACCGGCAAAAAACCCAUUCUCUCCGGUAGUGCCACGCUGAUUUCGAAUGGAAAGUUUCAGGCUUCCUAAAACCUUGCUACCAAUCUAUUGGAUUGUGUCUACCGAUUUCGUUAGCUACGCAAUUGUUUACUCCUGCGAGUCCGCGAAAGCUAGAAAGGAAUGAGUUUCAAUGGUAUUGAUCUCACGCCAUUCACUCUUACAGAGCAAAGCACUUUCUAAGCAGCAAUUUAUGGUAAUUCCUUCUAAAUGUUAAAAACCGCAAUGGAUUGGCUUGAAACUACAGAAAUCUAAAAAACAUAUGUAUUCUUAACAUCUGGAAUUGAUAAAACUAACUUUUUGUUAAAUAUAGUAUCAAAUAAAUA